GAUGAACGCUGGCGGCGUGCCUAACACAUGCAAGUCGAACGAGGCAAAUAAGAUGAAGUUUUCGGAUGGAUUCUUAUUUACCGAGUGGCGGACGGGUGAGUAACGCGUGGGUAACCUGCCUCAUACAGGGGGAUAACGAUUGGAAACGAUUGCUAAUACCGCAUAAGCGCACAGUACCACAUGGUGCAGUGUGAAAAACUCCGGUGGUGUAAGAUGGUCCCGCGUCUGAUUAGCUAGUUGGUGAGGUAACGGCCCACCAAGGCGACGAUCAGUAGCCGGCCUGAGAGGGUGUACGGCCACAUUGGGACUGAGACACGGCCCAAAACUCCUACGGGAGGCAGCAGUGGGGAAUAUUGCGACAAUGGAGGAACUCUGAUGCAGCGACGCCGCGUGAGUGAAGAAGUAUCUCGGUAUGUAAAACUCUAUCAGCAGGGAAGAUAAUGACGGUACCUGACUAAGAAGCACCGGCUAAAUACGUGCCAGCAGCCA
rnacentral:rRNA from 1 species